GACGAACGCUGGCGGCGUGCUUAACACAUGCAAGUCGAGCGGUAAGGCCCUUUCGGGGGUACACGAGCGGCGAACGGGUGAGUAACACGUGGGUGACCUGCCCUCAGCUCUGGGAUAAGCCUGGGAAACCGGGUCUAAUACCGGAUAUGACUCCAUGACGCAUGUUGUGGGGUGGAAAGCCUUGUGCGGCUGAGGAUGGGCCCGCGGCCUAUCAGCUUGUUGGUGGGGUGAUGGCCUACCAAGGCGACGACGGGUAGCCGGCCUGAGAGGGCGACCGGCCACACUGGGACUGAGACACGGCCCAGACUCCUACGGGAGGCAGCAGUGGGGAAUCUUGCGCAAUGGGCGAAAGCCUGACGCAAGCGACGCCGCGUGAGGGAUGACGGCC
rnacentral:rRNA from 1 species